rnacentral:rRNA from 1 species
UACGUAGGGGGCGAGCGUUGUCCGGAGUUACUGGGCGUAAAGCGCACGCAGGCGGUCUGUGAAGUUUGGAGUGACAGUUGGUGGCUCAACCACCAAAGUGCUUUGAAAACUGAUAGACUUGAGGGCUUCAGAGGGACACGGAAUUCCGGGUGGAGUGGUGAAAUGCGUAGAUAUCGCUUGGAACGCCGAAGGUGAAAACAGGCUGCUGGGGUUGCGCCGACGCUGAGACACGAAAGCCAGGGGAGCAAACGGG